GAUGAAGAACGUAGCGAAAUGCGAUAAGUAAUGUGAAUUGCAGAAUUCAGUGAAUCAUCGAAUCUUUGAACGCACAUUGCGCCCGCUAGUAUUCUGGCGGGCAUGCCUGUCCGAGCGUCAUUUCAACCCUCAAGCCCCCGGGCUUGGUGUUGGGGAUCGGCGAGCCUCCGCGCCCGCCGUCCCCUAAAUCUAGUGGCGGUCUCGCUGUAGCUUCCUCUGCGUAGUAGCUAACACCUCGCGACUGGAGAGCGGCGCGGCCACGCCGUAAAACACCCAACUCUUCUGAAGUUGACCUCGAAUCAGGUAGGAAUACCCGCUGAACUUAAGCAUAUCAAUAAGCGGAGGA
rnacentral:misc_RNA from 1 species